rnacentral:rRNA from 1 species
GAUGAACGCUGGCGGCGUGCUUAACACAUGCAAGUCGAACGAAGCGAUCUGGACUGCGACUUCGGUCAAAGGAAGGAUUGACUUAGUGGCGGACGGGUGAGUAACGCGUGGGUAACCUGCCUCAUACAGGGGGAUAACAGUUGGAAACGACUGUUAAUACCGCAUAAGCGCACAGUACCGCAUGGUACAGUGUGAAAAACUCCGGUGGUAUGAGAUGGACCCGCGUCUGAUUAGCUAGUUGGUGAGGUAACGGCCCACCAAGGCAACGAUCAGUAGCCGGUCUCGAGAGGAUGAACGGCCACAUUGGGACUGAGACACGGCCCAAAUCCUACGGGAGCAGCAGUGGGGAAUAUUGCACAAUGGGGGAAACCCUGAUGCAGCGAGCCGCGUGAGUGAAGAAGUA